rnacentral:rRNA from 1 species
UUCUUGGAGAGUUUGAUCCUGGCUCAGGACGAACGCUGGCGGCGUGCCUAAUACAUGCAAGUCGAGC